rnacentral:rRNA from 1 species
UACGUAGGGUGCAAGCGUUGUCCGGAAUUAUUGGGCGUAAAGAGUGUGUAGGCGGUGCUCCAAGUCUGUUGUGAAAUCUCCCGGCUUAACUGGGAGGGUGCGGCGGAAACUGGAAUGCUAGAGGGUGGGAGAGGUAAGCGGAAUUCCUGGUGUAGCGGUGAAAUGCGUAGAUAUCAGGAGGAACACCUGUGGUGUAGACAGCUACUGGACCACUUCUGACGCUGAGACACGAAAGCGUGGGUAGCAAACAGG